UAAAUGACUCUCGGCAACGGAUAUCUCGGCUCUCGCAUCGAUGAAGAACGCAGCGAAAUGCGAUACUUGGUGUGAAUUGCAGGAUCCCGCGAACCAUCGAGUUUUUGAACGCAAGUUGCGCCCGAAGCCUUUUGGCCGAGGGCACGUCUGCCUGGGUGUCACUC
rnacentral:rRNA from 1 species